UAUAUUGUAGUGUAGAGGUGGAAUUUAAGG
rnacentral:piRNA from 1 species